GCAAUACUUAGUGGCAGACGGGUGAGUAACAUGUAGGUAUCUUCCCUUUGGUGAGGAAUAACACGAGGAAACUCGUGCUAAUACCUCAUAAGUCUUUACGGAGAAAGCUUUAUGCGCCGAAGGAUGGGCCUGCAUUUGAUUAGUUUGUUGGUGGGGUAAUGGCCUACCAAGACUUUGAUCAAUAGCUGAUCUGAGAGGAUGAUCAGCCACAUUGGGACUGAGACACGGCCCAAACUCCUACGGGAGGCAGCAGUAGGGAAUAUUGCACAAUGGAGGAAACUCUGAUGCAGCGAUGCCGCGUGAGUGAAGAAGGCCUUUGGGUUGUAAAGCUCUUUCGUCGGGGAAGAAAAUGACUGUACCCGAAUAAGAAGGUCCGGCUAACUUCGUGCCAGCAGCCGCGGUAAUACGAAGGGACCUAGCGUAGUUCGGAAUUACUGGGCUUAAAGAGUUCGUAGGUUGUUAAAAAAGUUGGUGGUGAAAUCCCAGAGCUUAACUCUGGAACUGCCAUCAAAACUUUUUAGCUAGAGUAUGAUAGAGGAAAGCAGAAUUUCUAGUGUAGAGGUGAAAUUCGUAGAUAUUAGAAAGAAUACCAAUUGCGAAGGCAGCUUUCUGGAUCAUUACUGACACUGAGGAACGAAAGCAUGGGUAGCGAAGAGGAU
rnacentral:rRNA from 1 species